rnacentral:piRNA from 1 species
UGAUAGUGAGCACAGAUACCAAGUGGA